rnacentral:misc_RNA from 1 species
GGCCGGUGGCUGGUUCGG